CUAAAGUCACAUUCCGGCAGCAAUUUUAUGCUGUCAAAAUGCUCUAAACAAGGGGAGAUUUGACUGGCUUCUCUGAGAGCCAGUCAUAGGAAGCUUGGGUUCUGCUUCUUAUUGAGUUUUUCUUUCUUUUUUUUUUUUAAUGGGGGGGCGGUGGGAGAAAAGAAAAACAGAAAGAAGCAACACAAAACAGGACCCCCAAGAGUCUUUUGAAGGGCGCUUCUAUUUUCAGGCCAGGGACCAAUGCGUUCCGUGCAAGGUGUCCUGUUAAACCCAAGCCCCUCAAGAUGCGUGCAGGCGAUCUGGCUGUGGGUGCCGUGGUCACUCCUGCUCGCCGGAGCGGGUGCAGAUAAAGCCUGCGGUGCCACUCUGUGGGUGCCACUUGGCGGGAACAUCCUUCCAGGGGCCCCGACCACUUGGGAGGACUCUGCCCCAGGAGGGCAGGAGGGUGCCGGGUGGGGGUGGGGUGGGGGCUUGACCGGCGUGGCCUCCACGCAGCAGCCCCAGCUGCACAUUGAGGGCUAUUUCCACCCCAGUCGCUGCUCUGUAAUUAACCUCAGUGCUCCCACUUGGGCUAAAAGACCCUCCGCAGAGAGCCCCCCACCCCCGCGGGGCCCAUCUCCCCUUCUCCCAGCCUUCUUGGCCACUUCGUCCUCCCACAGAAUCUUCAGGAGCCUUGAUUCAAAUCUUGGCCCCUGAACCACAUUGCCCCCCCCUUCCUCAGGGCCCUCUCUUUGGGGUUCCGGUCCCCGAUGAAACCUCCACACUCCAGCUGUGCCUUCUGCUAACGCCCUCACUGUUCCCAGCUGAGCCAGCAGGGCCUGACCUCUGGGAAGCUGCGAGGUGCUCUGAUCCCAGCCAGGCCCCUCCCGAAAGGGUGACAGCCUCUCACGGGGAGAAAGGAGCAAAAGCAACCCUGCCACGUGGGUGUCGCCUUCAUGGGCAGGGCUCAGCCCGGGGUCACAGCGAGUCCCCGAUUUACAGUCAGGGUGCACGCCGACCGUCACCAACGUAGGUGGACGGGCCUAGGAGCUUGUCACCUGCUGGUUCACUUACUCUUCUCGGCGACCCUAGAGAUGAGAAUUACCAACGCCACGUUACAAAGACAGAGAAGCGAGGCCCAGAGGUGAGGCCACUUGCCCCACAUCUCACAGAAACCAUCGCCCGCCGAGGGGCAGAGUGAGUGAGGCCUGUGUCUCAUCUACACUCCCAGGACUGGCUGGAGGUCAAGGGGCUGUGCGUCCCGCCCCAGCUCAGCCCAGUCCCAGUGCAGAACCCCAGCUGCCCCUCUUGGGGCCUCAGCUCCCCAUCCGUAGAAUGGGAGAGGGAGGGCACGGCCAUCUAUGGCUCCUUCUGGCUCCAUCUGUUCACAACAGAUGGGAGAGAAAUCAGGGUGGGGGUCUCCCCAAGCUGGGCAGGGAGGCAGACUGGCUCCCCAGGGCCACCCCACACUGUGCUGGAGGCCCUGACGGCAACGGCCAGGAGGUCAGGAAAGGGGGGGCGCCGAGGAAGAGAAGCUGAAAAUUGGGGGUAGCAGGUGCCUAAUGAAAUCAGAAAAGUACUUAGGUUGGGCUUUAAGGAAUGAGGGCAGAAGCCCCAUUCCAGGGAACUGUUCAGAGAAACAAAAAAAGAGCAAAGAAAAGAGAGAAGACCUGCGGGGGCUGGUCCCAAGGCUGGGUGUGGAUGGAGGGUGUGCACGAGGCGUGCAGGCGCCCGGGGAACCGGAGGGGGCUUCGCGGCGCCCACAUUGCUCCAGCAAGAAUGCCAGGCGGGAGCAGAGAGCAGAGCUGGGCUGGCAUGACGGGGCCCGUCUAGCAGAGCCCACGGUGGAAAAAAGAGAUUUAGAUAUUUAUGGGAAAUACACUUGUUGGUGCCAACCGCCUGGCUUUAUUGUCAGGGAAAAAACAAACGCAACCACCGAAACUCGUCCUCAACUGAGAAUCCACAUGGAGGCAAAUGAUCUCCCCAUCAAACCAGUUUUAUUGGAUAUAAAUAUCUAAUUAUUCGUACCAGGCCUUGGAAUGCCAGACAUUUUGCAGCUUUUAUAACAUGUGUGGGAGUCUUUAUAAACGACAUAUAUAUACACAUACACACACAUAUAUAGUUAUAUAUUAACAAACCUGAUUUGAAUUUCCUCUGAAUUAUUUUUUGCUUCGUGGGUCGUUUUUUUGGCUUUUUUUUUUUUAAACAAACCCAGAAAAGAAAAGAAAAAAAAGCUGGAUUAUCUUCCGUGUUGCUCACGCCCCUCUUUCUGCGGGGGCAUUUUAUGAGACCUGACCCAGAAAGUUCCUGGGAAAGGGACCCCUGUACCACUUUUCAUGUCCCCCUGCCCGCCCCCCGCCCCCCGUGGCCACGCAGCAGUUUGGAAGCACACACGUGCUCACAGCACUUUACAACCACAGCACCCACGGCUCCAAGUCAAGGCCUCACAUGUGACCCAAACCUGAGGUCCCGAGCAGGCCCACAGAAGUGCCGACGUUCUGAGCAGGAAGCACACGACGGCAAGCCCUGUGCCAGCCUUCCACACACAUGCGUGACGACAAAGAGCUGGGCAGAGGGGGCCGGAAGGGGCGGGGGGAGUCGUCUUACGGGGAAUAAUGUGGAUCAGCCUGUCAUCUGGAGACGCAUCUUCAUCUAGAAUUAAUGCACUAAAGUUCUUUUGUUUUGCCUCUAAAUGGUUUUAAAGAGACAGUGGACUCGCGGCCCGGACACGGAGGCUUGGUGUGCAGCUGGUCCCGCCUCUGGGACGGGAACAGACUGGCGAUGUGAGCGGGGUGCGGGGGGGAUCCCAUCUUGGCCCCUGCCCCAACCUCCUGCCAUGGUGCUUUCUCCCCCACCUUGUCUCGGUGGAAAGAAGGUUAAAAGGCUCUGGCUUUCACGGCUCCGGACCCAAAGGCCGCGUUAGACAGAGUGAAGAAGGCGAAAGCCCUUGGCUGGGCAGGACGAGGGGGGGGGGGGCUCCUCUGAGCUAGGUGCCAGCCCCCAGAGGAAGGGCUAAGGCAGUGCAGUGAGGACUGCAGAGGCCGGUGUUCCCCAAGCAGGAGCCCCUGCGCUGCUGUGGCUGAGGACAGAGGGGUGGGGGCCGGGGGUAGGAGUUUGGACAGGAGCCAGAAAACCCAGGGGGACCCUGGGGGAAAUCAAGGUCAGGGGAAGCUGUCCCUUUGACGCCAAGGGCGAAAGGAACCAUUCUAGUUAAAGUGGCAUUUGGGGAGACUCUUGCCAGGGGCAGGCGGCCCACACGGACACUUGAAGGAUGCCAACCGCAUCGCUGAACACCCCGCACUCAGACCUAUGGAUGCAAGGGAGAGAAGGAGCUCCAGAUUAGGAGGGCCCUGGGCCUCUGCCGAGAACCUUCUCCGAAGGCCCACACCUCCUCUGCUCAGAGACCCGCACUCAGGGGGAUGGGCUGGGGGCCGGGGGAGCCGAGAACAAACAGCAGCAACAGGAACAGAGUUGAGCCAUUUCAAUUAUUCAUAUGCCAGAUGGAUUCUUUUCCUGCCUUUUUCUUCCCUAUAAAAAUAAGGAGGGAGGGAGGUUCCGACCUUCUGUGAAGGAUAUAAAAAAUCCAGCCGCCUCAGGGGACACCCAACUAUCUAGCAUAUUGCUGUUAAAAUGUCUGCAAAAUUUAAUACACUUGGCAUGCCAUCUAAUCAGUCCUUGGAAACUCGGGCACUCUCUCCUAUGAUCAAACCGCCUCAGAACUUCCGCCUAUGGGAUUCCCACCCCCAUCCUGUCCCCUCAAUUUAGACAGAGUUGUCAUCCCCCCCCCACCCCGCCCCAUAAAAACAGCUGCUGUGGCUUUUAGGACCCAUUUCAUCCUGAAGUUCACCCAAGGUCCAGAAUCAGGAAGGUUUCAUGAGAAGCAAGUGGAAAGGGGGGGCGGGGUGCUAUCACUGGGAUUUUGGUACCCAGGAGAGACAAAGGGUGCUGGGAAGGCAUGUGCUGACAAGGUACGUGGUCCCAAGCUGGGCAGCAGAGGCUGCUCCUUCCAGGGCAGCCAGCGAGAGCCUGACAGCUCUCACUUAAAUAGCUGCUCGGCACACAGAGGGCUCUGUCCUCACCAGAACGCAGGCAGACACCAGUAUACACCUGCCCAACAAUGCACUCCAUCAAUCCAGCCAGGAUUGGGAAAAUUCUGUGAACCCCGCAAGAUUCCGUGGCCACACCAAGGCCCCAACUACCAGCUAGGAAGUUUCCAGAUUUGCCCCAAGGAUGCCUGACCUUCUACCCCAAAGGCAGCAAUCAGGGCCCUGCCUGACCGGGAUACCUUGGCAGGUCACCACCUGGUUCAGCUUGGCAAAGAGACCUUGUACGGCACCUGAAUGGGGCUGUGAGGAUCGGUCCCCCCAAAUCUUCAUCCUCUGCCCCAGAAGGGAGUUCUCGCCCAACCCUCUUUGUCCUCUCUUUGACUGAUGCACCUUAAAUAGGCCUGGGGGACCCUAGGAGGCUCAAGGGAUCUUGGAAAACCCAUGCCAUGCCAAGCUAAGUGCUUGCUCAUAAGGUAGGGCAGGGUAGGGGGCUGGGCAGAACAGGCCAGAAUGGGGACAAGCCAGAGGGCUCCAUCUGCAGCAGAAUGACGCAGUGGCCGGGGACACAGAGCCCAGCUGGCCCUGAUGUAACCCCUCACCAUGCAGGUGAGCGCAGAGGCAAACAGGUGAAGGCCAUUCCAGGGGGCGUGGGCAGGUCCAGCCUUCUGGGUGGGCAAGGGCCCCACAGCCAGAAGGACAUGUGCCCAGGUCAACGUCCUGCAGCUGCCCUCAUAAAAUUCUUAAUAAUUGAAGAUUGAGGGGGCCCUGCAUUUUCAUUUCGCACCGGGCCCCACAAAUUAUGAAGCAGGUCCUGGGUGUGGGUUUCGGAGGAUCAGAGGACCCGGGUUUGAUUUCCAAGGUUUUGUCCCCUACAAACCAAGUGAUAUCAGAAAAGCCACUAAUUAUCUCUGGCUACAGGGAGCCUCAUCUUUAAAGUGGGGUGAUCACACGGCUCUCAGGGUGGCCAGGCCGACCGGGAGGGGUAAAGCGGGAAGAGCUGGGGGAACACGAUUAACUAACUGUCCUACUGAAAUAGGCGCUGCGCCGCAGGCAGGAGAGAGCAAGGCCUGUUUCUGUUGGUGGCGGUGUCCCCAGUCCAGGGAUGACCGACUCUGCUGUGGCAAGAGGUCUCCUUCCAGAGCAGCAGGGCAGGGAAGCCUCGGGCGGGCCCAGCCCAGCUGGCCCCAUUCACAGGUGAAGACGCUGGGAUGACCUGCCUGUUGUCACCGAGUGGCCUCCAGGCCGGGUGACACUGAGGACAUACUGUUCCUGCUGUCCAGGCUUGGCCUUGGCCUCAGGACACUUGAGAUGGGGACAGUGAGAAGAGGGAGUAGGAGGCAGGAUUUGGAAAAGGGAGAAAGGAAAGUCCUUUCUACACAUCUUCACACACACACACACACACACACACACACACACACACACACACACGGCAAAAUUAAAGCUGAGAACUUGGCUAGGAAGACAAAUCCUACCCCUGUUCUAUCGAAACUUAUUUUAGGGCAGGAGGUAAUUGCCAAGGACCCAAAUAAAAAGCCAACCACAGGCUGUAAAUGGCUCCAAGUCUUUAAUUAGACCCCCAGAAAAAAUAGUGGUGAAAAGAAAAUGAAUGUAGGCGAGGGUUCCUGGAGGAAGGAAUAUGCACGCAGCCCCCUCCCAGGUCCAGUGGCUUCAGAGGAAGGCUCCCCUUGCCUGUGGCAGGCACCAGCGUGCCCCUGGACAGGCAGGCCGGAGCCAGGACAGCAGUGCAUGCCCCGAGCCCUGGUCCUGGGUCCCUUCCCCUCUCCCGGUGGCGGCGGCGGCGGUGGCGGUUGCAAUGGGGACGGAGCGCGGGGCCAGGGGAAGGUGAGCUGGAGUCAGGGAGCAGGGAAAGGAGAAAGCUUUGGAUCUGGGGUGGGCUUUGAGCCACACAAAGACCUGCCCGUCAAGCCACAAGGCCCAGUUCCUUGGCCACUGCCCGGUCUGCCCACAGGGCACGUCUCCCGCUCCCUGGGACUGUCCUCCAGCCUUGACCCCGGCGCCCU
rnacentral:lncRNA from 1 species